GCUAGUUAGCUAACUAGCAAGCUAGCACACGGUGUCGUUAACUAGCAAGCUAGUCAGCUAGUUAGCACACAGUGUUGCUCCAGCCUCCCGCUUGCUGUACUAGCGGGAGGCGGGGGUAACCCGUAGACAGUGUCCUUUGCCCGCACCUGUCGUGCACUGUUUUCCCGCAGGGCUGUAAACAAUGGUGAGGGCAGGUGUUCGGCAGGCAGGAGAAACCGGCAACCACCCCGCAGCAAUGCUGUGACACAAAAUCAGCUUUCCCAAGGCAAAGCCUGUGAAGAAAGACCCAACAUAAUGCUACGUAGUCAGGCUCCUGGGUCUCCUCUUCAACGAGGUCACCCUUGAUCCAGCACCGUAUGUGGGGAAGCUGGGUAAGCUGUCCAUC